rnacentral:rRNA from 1 species
UCGGGAAUUUUGGGCAAUGGGCGAAAGCCUGACCCAGCAACGCCGCGUGAAGGAUGAAGUAUUUCGGUAUGUAAACUUCGAAAGAAUAGGAAGAAUAAAUGACGGUACUAUUUAUAAGGUCCGGCUAACUACGUGCCAGCAGCCGCGGUAAUACGUAGGGACCAAGCAUUGAUCGGAAUUACUGGGCGUAAAGGGCGCGUAGGCGGCUCGAUAAGUCGGAUGUGAAAUUCCGGGGCUCAACCCCGGAGCGGCAUUUGAAACUGUCGAACUAGAGUACAGUUAGGGUAAACGGAAUUCCACGUGUAGCGGUGAAAUGCGUAGAUAUGUGGAAGAACACCGGUGGUGAAGACGGUUUACUGGGCUGUAACUGACGCUGAGGCGCGAAAGCAUGGGGAGCAAACAGGAUUAGAUACCCCUGUAGUCCCUGAGCGGGCUGGCAAGGCGCAU